ACAGCAGUAGCCGCUGUAAUACGGAGGGUGCAAGCGUUAAUCGGAAUUACUGGGCGUAAAGCGCACGCAGGCGGUUUGUUAAGUCAGAUGUGAAAUCCCCGAGCUUAACUUGGGAACUGCAUUUGAAACUGGCAAGCUAGAGUCUUGUAGAGGGGGGUAGAAUUCCAGGUGUAGCGGUGAAAUGCGUAGAGAUCUGGAGGAAUACCGGUGGCUAAGGCGGCCCCCUGGACAAAGACUGACGCUCAGGUGCGAAAGCGUGGGGAGCAAACAGGAUUAGAUACCCCAGUAGUCCCUGUCUCUUAUAC
rnacentral:rRNA from 1 species